rnacentral:rRNA from 1 species
UUCCUACGGGACGCAGCAGUGAGGAAUAUUGGUCAAUGGGCGAGAGCCUGAACCAGCCAAGUCGCGUGAGGGAGUACUGCCCUAUGGGUUGUAAACCUCUUUUGUCGGGGAGCAAAAGCCGGACGUGUCCGGCUGUGAGAGUACCCGAAGAAAAAGCAUCGGCUAACUCCGUGCCAGCAGCCGCGGUAAUACGGAGGAUGCGAGCGUUAAUCGGAAUUACUGGGUGUAAAGGGUGCGCAGGCGGUUGAGUAAGACAGAUGUUAAAUCCC